ACACCCUGGUUUCUCUUCAGAUCGUAUAAAUCUUUUGCCUUUUACUAAAGAUUUCCGUGGAGAUGUUCUUAAGUUUUAAACUUAAUUGUAGGGACAAAGUCUGGAGUUGAGUAUU
rfam:Tupaia chinensis contig194942, whole genome shotgun sequence.